GCUGAGAUUAUUAAAUCUCAGCCACUUAAACUCACAAAAAUAACCGCUUACAUAGCGGUUCAGUGCGAUUAUCUACGGUUUUCUUAGCUGAUGGUUAUUUCCACCUUUUCCUCCAUGAUCUCCUCAACUCAACUCAACUUAAUCCUCCUACAAACUUGGGUAGUGGUAUCAAUUUGAGGAGCAUUGUUAUAUAAAGUAGACGCCACAUACAGAAAUUCUUAUUUUCAAUUGAAUCAUUCUUGAAGAAUAAAAGAAAUCCUCCUCGCUGCUCUUUCAUGGUGUUCUUGGUAACCAAACAUAUUUGUUCAGAGGAGUGGUCCACCUUGAUAGUCAUAAGAUUGUAGUCAAGAUUGAUGGAUCUAACAGCCUCCAAAUCUUCCACCUUCCCAUGUUUUCUCCAUAUUAGUCGCUAUAUUAGUGACCCAUAUUCCAGUUUGGGAACUGUUUAGAUGGCUCAUGGACAGGUUAUCAGUAGACACCAAUGCUGCACAUGAAGGCAACACUACAGCUGGUGAACUAAGAUGGAAAUUGGCAGCUUGCAUUAUGCAAAUGGCCCAGUUGGUACCCUGAGUUUGUACUUUUUUGCGGUGCUUGACACACGGAGUAAUUUGUUUUGGAUUUCUUAUGAUAUCCGAAGCUACGUGAAAGGAUUGGUCACAAGAAAUGAAGAGUAUAUAUGAUUGUGUAACACUGGCUAGCCUUCAACAUAUACAACCCUAACACAUGGUUCAACAUUUAAAUCAUAUCCAAAGAUUCGAUGCAGAUGUAGGAUGUUUUAUGUGUUGUUGAAAUAAUUGGCAGAAGUCGUCUUAUGAAUUCAUUCACUACUUUGAUCGUACAUCCGCUGCACUUGCUAUAUUAUCUCUAAAUGGGAGGCAUUUGUUUGGUCAACCUGUUAAAGUCAACCGGGCAAUUGCCAGUGGGCAAAGGGGGACACAUCAGGUAGGUUUUAUUAGGGGUCUCAAUCGUGCCAGGUUGAUGGGUUAGCGGGUUGAAAUGUGCAACCCGAACCUGACCCAUAUUAUUAUUCAUGUCAAAGAUUUUGACCCUAACCUGCACACAUAUAAAUUCUUAUCAACACGAACACGACCCGUUUAAUCUGUAAUGAGUCAUACAUGUUGAUUUAUAAGCGGGUCAUCGAUAACAUUUCUAAUGGUGAAUGCGAGUGUUAUAAGUAAAUAAUAGUGUGCCAAAACUAACAUUAUUAUCACUAACCAUAUAAAAUAGAACGGAAAAAACAAAAACAAAAAUAUAAAAGUUUUUUUUUCUAAAUAGUUAAACGGGUUAACGGGUCAACCCGUUUUUAUACGACGCAACCCGAAACCGACCCGUUUUUAAUAGGGGUCAACCCAAACCCGAUGCGUCUUUUAAACGGGUCGUGUUAGUCAACCCGAACCUUUUUUUUCGUGUUGGGUUCGGUUCGGGUUUCGAGUCAUGUCAAGAAUUGCCAUCCUUAGGUUUUAUGUGGUGCUUAUAGUUUGUUUGGUUACUUUGUGUAACUAUCAUCAGGUGUUACUAUUUUUAUAUUAAUUCAAUCUCAAUGGCAUUUAUACUUUUGAUUAUGCCAUACUUGGUUUAAAAAGGUGCGCCUCGGGUGCGCGCUAGGUUAUUAGAGAAACACCCUAGGUUCUGAAGGUGGCACUUCUUGGACAACUGGAUAAAAACCGGUAAGAAGUGAGGGUGCAGAGGAUAUUGUUAUGUAAAAGAGAUGAGAGAGAUGCAAUUUUUUUUUUGUACACUUCGUUGUAAAUAUCGUGAGACGUUGCUUUAUGUACAACUAAAGUUGUAGCCUUCACAUAUCGUUUACAUAUUAGACGCGUUCAUCAAGUAAACCAAUCCCUCCAUCCUUUCGGUCAUUUUUACAUACAAGCCUCUAAGCCCUUAAGCUGACCCACAUGUGACUAAAGAUACACACAUAUUUUGCUCAUAUUCAUAUUUUAAAUCCAUACUCUCAGUUUCUUUUGUUUUCACAUAGUUGAUAAAUCUAAGUCUACAUUAAAAAAGUCACAUUGAUUAAUAUAAGAAACUGGGUGAUUUUUGUGAAGAAAUUUAGCUAUUACUAAACAUAGGGAUGAGCUCGGUAUCAACCCGUACCGAACUGGUAAUGAAAAUACGGGUACCAAAGAACCUUAAAAAGUGUACCGGUACCGAAAAUACACGGUACGGUUUGGUACCAUGCUGAACCGGUACCGAAAAUAGUUCGGUACGGGAGAUUCGGUAGCAGUAUCGGUUCCGGUUGUUCGGUACCCGAUACCCUCUGCUUAUCCCUAAUUAAACAUGUAUAUUUUUUGAAACCUCACUUUGGAACAAGAUACUUUCUCAUUAAUUAACCAGAGUGAAAGUUCAAAUUUUUGACAAAUAUUAGGCAUGAAGUUCAAAUUUUAGAAACCUAAAGGAAGAAAUGCCAUGAAUUGUAACCAAUUGAAAGUGUACAUUUGUAUUGUUGAAUUCAACCUAUUAUAUGUUGAAUCUUUUUAUUUGCAAUGAUUGAAAAUGUACAAUUGGAGGAUGUAGAUUGUAGCUUGCAUGGGUGCGUGCACCGGUAUGUUAUUUCAAUUAUUGGAUAAUGGUUUAAAAUUUUGUUUUGUAAUUCACAGAUUAUAUUGGCAUAUGUAUUAUGUAAUGACUAUUGUAAAAUAUCGAAUUCUUUACUUGAGAUUUUAAAUCACAUGAUUGUGAGGCUCAUGAUGUGGUGGUUUUUCGUAGGCUUGAACAUGUCAUCAGUGGAGAAAUGGUUAGGUGUUCCAUAUGAUACAACCUUUUUUUUUCGUUUAGUAAUGAGAUUUACAAUGCAGUGAUGGAAAAUAUCAUAAGAAACCUUAAAUUCGACUUCCGAAGGUUUUGGAAGAUGGUGUUAAAGUGCUUAUAUAUGGUGGAGAAGAUGCCUUUCUUUGCUGCCA